AUAGCUCAGUGGUAGAGCGCUUGCCUGACAUGCACAAGUCCCUAGGUUCAAUCCCUGGU
rnacentral:tRNA from 1 species